UGGGUGAAUUUUGACAGCUUUUGCCAUCCGUUGAAAUUCGAUGGCGAGUCCAGCAAGCUCUCUUGCACCCUCGACGAGUAGGAGGGGAAGAGUUUGGGCCCAAAGAAUUUGGAUUGGACUCAACUUCCUUCCACGGCUUGGUUGGAGCCUUAGUUGGCCGGGGCUAUCAAAUUCAUGAUGUCGCCACCCAAGGGCUGAGCUGCAGCC
rnacentral:lncRNA from 1 species